rnacentral:rRNA from 1 species
UGGGGAAUAUUGGACAAUGGGCGCAAGCCUGAUCCAGCCAUGCCGCGUGUGUGAAGAAGGCCUUCGGGUUGUAAAGCACUUUUGUUCGGGAAGAAAUCUUCCGUCCUAAUACGGCGGGAGGAUGACGGUACCGAAAGAAUAAGCACCGGCUAACUUCGUGCCAGCAGCCGCGGUAAUACGAAGGGUGCAAGCGUUACUCGGAAUUACUGGGCGUAAAGCGUGCGUAGGCGGUUCGUUAAGUCUGCCGUGAAAGCCCCGGGCUCAACCUGGGAAUUGCGGUGGAUACUGGCGGGCUAGAGUACGGUAGAGGGUGGUGGAAUUCCCGGUGUAGCAGUGAAAUGCGUAGAGAUCGGGAGGAACAUCUGUGGCGAAGGCGGCCACCUGGACCAGUACUGACGCUGAGGCACGAAAGCGUGGGGAGCAAACA